AUAUUUUUUCCUAGAAAAGUAUCACUUUUAUUUACACUUUCAAAUGUUUGGUAUUAAACUGUCUCUGUGUUCCUGAGUGUGCUGUGAAGGCACACGCAGGGGUUGUGUCUCUCCACGAUGUCAGCUUUAUUCAGUCAUAAAUCUAGGUCAGCAUAAUCAUAAAGCAGGUGCAGAAUUCCAGAUUCAGUGACGUUUCACUGACGAUUAACUUGGCUUCUUCUGUGGCACACGGAGUAGAACACAAGACAAGUCACACAGCAAAGUGACCUCUGCCCAGAAUUUCCAUCCCACCUGCUCUGACUCAUCAUGGCUGACUCAUCUCUCAGGUCUCAGCUUGAUUCAGUCAGGUUCUUAGUUAAAGACAACAGAAUCUACUCUGGCUGAGAAAGGGACUUUAUUAAGAUUACGUAGCCCCGAGAGUCUCCAGGAAGAUCAGAAGCCGGGUGGAGGUACGAUACCCAAGCACGCCAGAAGCUCUAGUGAAAAUCCACCGCUGCUGCCACCACUUGACACCAACGCCGCAACUUCCACAAACACAGGCUGUGAAACUAAGGCCUGGGGAACCAGGAGCUCUCCCUCUUGUCCGCUCGCCAGCCUCACCACUGGGUAGGCAGAGUUUGGCACUUUUCGUUCUUCGUCUUGCCCAUGUUUCUUGCAAUAAAAAAGUGGAAUCUGACCAAUCUCA